GCACUGAUAAUUUAGUGGUAGAAUUCUCACCUUCUGUGUGAGCGACCCAGUUUCAAUUCCCAGCCAAUGUA
rnacentral:tRNA from 1 species